rnacentral:lncRNA from 1 species
CAGUGAACGAGGUAGCCAGACCGCGCUUCCUUCCAACCAAAAUGCUGGCUAAAGUGUGUUUUGAAAACGCAUCUGUGAGCUGAUGUGGAAGUGAGAAACUCUGAGCUCCAAGCAAGCUGAGAUGAAGACCUCCGGGGGCUGCACCCCACAGAGCUGAGAUUCACCCAGCCCUGGGCAGGAGCCAGGCAGGAGCUGCCAUCGUAGAGCGCAGGCGACCCCCCUGCACGGCCCAGGAGUGGUGCUUUUCACUGGUGACUUCACUCCACCCUCAGGACGUGUCAGCGGCUGCCAGAGUCUCCACUGAACGCCACCCGUUAUCUUUGGGACACAGCUACCUUCCUUCCCCG